rnacentral:rRNA from 1 species
GACGAACGCUGGCGGCGUGCCUAAUACAUGCAAGUAGGACGCAGUUGCGAACGGGUGAGUAACGCGUAGGUAACUGCCUAUUAGAGGGGGAUAACUAUUGGAAACGAUAGCUAAUACCGCAUACUAGUAGAUGGACCUGCGUUGUAUUAGCUAGUAGGUAGGGUAAUGGCCUACCUAGGCGACGAUACAUAGCCGACCCGGGGGGGUGGACGGGCACACUGGGACCUGGGCACGGGCCAGACUCCUUCGGGAGGGAGCAGUAGGGAAUCUUCGGCAAUGGGGGGAAACCUGAACGAGGAACGCCGCGGGAGAGAAGAAGGUUUUCGGAUCGUAAAGCUCUGUUGUGAAGGAAGCGGUACUUGACCAGAAAGGGACGGCUAACUACGUGCCAGCAGCCGCGGUAAUAC